rnacentral:lncRNA from 1 species
GGCACAUCAGUCAUCAUCGUAUAACAAUUUUAAAAGGAACAAUUUAACAGAACACAAACACAUCUAUCUAUAAACACAUUCAUUAAUUUGUGUGUCUGACGUCAGAAAAUUUUAUACGUCACAUAGAUUUGUCGUUCAAUGUGCAUACAAACAAUUUUAAAAUUUACAUAGGCAAUGUUAGCAUAUAGGGUUAGAAAAUCAAAAGUAUGUAAGAAUAAAGGAGAAGGUCCGGUAAGGACCAAUUUUGGCCUCAAAUUUCAUGUUCAUCUGACGAAAGAUUUUGACCACUUUUUAAACACUUUUAAGUGUCUAUUUUAUUUGAAUCAAUCAGUUUAUGUGAAAGAUUUUAACUGAUUAAGUCAUAAAAAACGCACCGAUUCAAGCUGAAAUACGAAAAAUCUACCAAAUAUGCCGAAAAAUGUCAUUUUUCAGAUGGUUUUUGUCAAAAAUGAAAGUGGCCGCAUCCGUGUUCAUCCUCAACCUUUAUAUAUGUUAUGUAUUAUCAUAUAAUACAACUUACAUUUCAAUAUUAAGGAUGAACACGAAUGCGGCCACUUUCGUUUUACACGAAAACCGUCUAAAAUUUAACAAAAAUGCUAGAAUUGUGAAGAUUUCAGUAAUUUAGCAUGACUUAAUGGUUCUAGUACCCGAUAUAUGUGCAUUGUAUUGUCAAAAUCAGCCCAAAUUUAUGUAGCAGAAGCAUUUUACUGUCCAAUGAAUAACUUAAGGUUUACAUUUUAACAAUUUUGUAAAACUGCUAUAUUUUGGGGC